AGCAGCUCUGAUGUUCAUUGUAUCUGCUCUCCUCUAUCUGCUGAUGUGACAGCUAGCACAGAUACUAAAGAGGUACCACUCUAAGGAGAUUUCACACAUUCUGCUAAUGCAAAAGAGGAGAUUAAAGCCCAACGGGCUAGGUGAUGUCUGGGAAGAGACGCUGAAACAUGACUUUCAGAAGCCAUCCUGUUUGAAGGAUGAUUGUACUCUGGGAAGCAUUGAACUAUGACCAUUGUGUGUCCCCUCCAUAGCCUCAGAGUAUAAUGAAAGUCAGUUUCCGCCCUUUUGCAUUUAGCUUGGUCCACAAACGACACAAUUCAGGAGGAUUAACACCACCAGCUGGGAGCAAUAUCACAGAAAACAUUUUUGAAAAAUCUUGAAGCAUACCUACAGGCAUGUUGGUGAGAAAUUUGUUUCAUUUGAAGAGCAAACUCAGUGCCACAGACUGACACACCCUCUGAG